UACAGAGGGUGCGAGCGUUAAUCGGAAUUACUGGGCGUAAAGCGUGCGUAGGCGGUUAUUUAAGUCGGGUGUGAAAGCCCCGGGCUCAACCUGGGAAUUGCAUUCGAGACUGAAUAGCUAGGGUACGGUAGAGGGAAGUGGAAUUUCCGGUGUAGCGGUGAAAUGCGUAGAUAUCGGAAGGAACAUCAGUGGCGAAAGCGACUUCCUGGACCAGUACCGACGUUCAGGCACGAAAGCGUGGG
rnacentral:rRNA from 1 species